ACCGUCCGGACCCAAAGAAAAAUAUAAUUCCAUGCUAGCAAGCAAUUUAAAUUCCUUAGCAAGCAAGCACAUCAUGAUAAACGCGACUUCCUUUAGAAGACAGUGAUUUUUUGGUAUAUUUCAAGAUGUUUCUGGUAAUCAGAAUUGAUCCGUUAGAUGGCUAAAGUUAAGUCUAUUAAAAGCACAAUUCAAAACGACUUCACCCGAAGAAUAUGAAAAUGUCCAUUUCUGUAAAUGAUUGAACUAAUUAGUUUAUAACUAGUUGAUUGGCAUAAUUUAACCCAAAAAACUUCAAACGUGGUCGAACUAAAUUAGUCAAAAACUGUCAACUGAAUAGAAUUAUUUUAUAUAUAGAUAUAUACACCACCUCCAUGUGGUCCAAAAGCUCUGUUUUUAUAAACAAUGUUAUACUCAGAUAUCUCAAGAUUACAAGUAUCAUGUAAGCUA